UUGAUCCCAUUAACAUGAGCUUCAAGUGU
rnacentral:piRNA from 1 species